GGGGCCGCCCACCAAACUGAGACGGGAGGGGGCGCGCUCGCCUGUGGGUCGCCGAGCUGCUGCCGCGGCGCGGGGGGGAUUGGAACGCAGGGCCUCCCGGUGCAGCUCCACCGUGGGGACGCAGGGCCUCCCGGUGCAGCUCCACCGUGGGGACGCACGGUCCGUAGUGGGGACAGGGACCUCUCCCAGUGCCGCUCCGUGCUGGGACCAAAAGGCUUUCUAGUGUAGCUCCUCCUUGGGUUUGCGGGGCCUCCUGAUGCACUACUGCACUGGGGAAACUGAGGCGGGGAGUCCUGACUUGUCCAAGAAUGCCCAGCCGGGCAGUGAUGGAGCAGAAACUAGAACCCAGCCCGCCUGAGACCCAGCCCAACAGCAGUUUGGCCCUAGUGAUCAACAGAGCUUGAUGAGAGGGGGAGUUCUCUAGGGAGGAGGCGACUGUAACCCCUUUUUGGUCGCAUCCCAAUCACCGAGGAAGACAGAUCUCUGCCCUGGGAAGUUCACAGCCUAGUCAGACCACAUGGUGGCAGGAUAGUCCCUUAAAGCUCUGCCCCCUUUCAGAAAAAAUAUUACUCAAGCCUCCCUGUGAACAGAAAAUCUGAAGUAACCAACAGAGCAGCAUUCACCCCUAAGGGGUAGGAGGAUGGAUUUGGGGUAACUGCUGCCUGUCUUUUCGGAACCCCACGUGAAGGGCGUUGGCCUGACCUUCAAAGGCACUGCGGGCUCACUGCCACUGCUGACUUCCAUAGUAGAGAGACAUGUAGCAUCAAGAGGCUCCGACCAAGAUGUGGGCCCCCAGCAUGCCAGGCAGACAAUCCCUGAAAAGAGCUCACACUUAGAGGAGGAUGGAAGGGGGAAACUAAGGCACAGAAAGAGCAAACAGACAAGACCUUCUGUCCAAUGGUUGGGGCAAUCCUGGGGAAGGGUUGGAAGGACUUUGAUCUACUAGUGCCCCAGAAAACUGAUGGUGACCUCUGGUAAGCUUUUAGCAUAUAGGAACGCUGAUUUUUUUUUUUUAUAUUUUCUCUAUAAUGUUUUUAACUUAAGAAUGAAUGUGCUUGCUUGGAAAGGGCUGUGUGAUGACACUCAGAGAGAAAGCAAAGCAUAGGUGCUUGUCUAUAGGCAGACUGACAUGCCGGGGAUAUCACAGAGUAAGGCAGAGAGCAAUACAGCCUUAAAAUCCCCGGGGUCAGUAAGGAAUGGGACAAGAAACCGGUGAUGGCUGGAGACCUGAUUGGGAGUUCCAGGCACAGUUAUUCUGAAAUUGUGACAUCUGGCUCUGAUAUUGAUUCUCUUCUGUGACCACAGACAAGAUAUUUCCCCUCUCAGCCUUGUAAAAUGGGGAGAACGCUCUCUAACUUUGCCGGAAGUCUGUGAAUUGCUUAGUGAAUGUAAAGCUCACUGAAGAUAAAACAAAAUACUACUGAAGUGCUAAUUAAUUGAUAUUAAGAAUACUAUUCCAGAACAAUGAUGCAAAAAGAAUUAAAGCCAAACUCUUCCAAUGAUGCCACUUCCAAGUUUGUUCCUGAAAACUGUACCAACAGGUCAAACAAUAUUGUACAAGAACAGCACAAUCUACCCCAUUUGAAAAAAGCAGGAGCUGUCCAUCAAGACAUUUGUAAGUUUGGUGGGUAAGAUGUACAGUUAUUAUUUGCAAAGCAUCAACUGCAGGUGAGGCACUUGUACCACUGCAUUUAGCCAUUCCCUUUAUUGGCACUUUAGGGAACAAGAAAAUCACAUCUAAAGAGAGUUGAGGUAACUGAGGAGUCCUGGCAGAUAUGAGGGAAGGUGGAAGGGUGCGAGAAAGAGGGAGGGACAGGCACAAUUGGACAGGAAGGGGGACUCAUUGAGAAACAGAGGAGAGAGAAGAGGAGUACUUGUGACACCUUAGAGACUAACAAAUUUAUUUUAGCAUAAGGUUUUGUGAGCUACAGCACUCUAAGGUGCCACAAGUACUCCUUUUCUUUUUGCGGAUACAGACUAACACGGCUGCUACUCUGAAACCAGAGAAGAGAGAGUUUGAUAGGUGGGUUGGAAAUUGUUAGACAGUGGAAAGAUCUUGCAUGUCUCAGAAAUUCCUGGAGAUUUUAUUUAGCUCAGCAGUUCUUACAGUAUUACACCCAGUGCCAUGAGGGGAAAGUCUCAUGCCCUUGUGUGGACAGAGGGUGACCAGAUAGUAAGUGUGAAAAGUUGGGACACUUUUUUUUUUUUUGGUGAGGUGUGUAUAGUUGCAUAUAUAAAACAAAGCCCCUAAUACCAGGAUGUCUGGUCACCCUAUGUGGAUAUGACAGAACAUAUCUUUUGAAGGCAGGAGAAUGGUGUGUAAAGAUGCCACUACAAGACAUCACUAGGAUUAACCCUCCCCUAGUGGCCUCAGGUGGCACAGGCAUAAAUCAUGAGAUAUCACUUGGCCUGGCUAGCUGGACAAGUGCUGGCAAAAUCCAGAGAGAACAGAAGCCUUGGGUCUUCGCACACAUAGGAAGGGGUUUAUGCAGGACAUCUUCCAGAACAUUCAGGAGACAGCAUCUGCCCUGAGGUGUUCACAGUCUGACAUCAGCAAAAUUGCAGGGUGGCAAUCAGGGUACAGGAGAGGUUAG